CAUAAAAAAUCGAUCUCUACUCUAUGGAUCGAAUAUUGAUUCAUUAAGCUUGGAUUGAUUCAGAAUUAUUGAUCGAUUUUAUCAACCCAGGUUUACUAAAAUAUGCAUUUUUAUUAUGUAUGUGUAGCAGGAUGAGUUAAUUGGGCUCCCAGGUGUAGGCACUCCAGUCCUGGUGCUGCUAAUUAGCACCAGGCCACCUAUAUAGCGGGACGGAGCUGGCUUCUGCUCAUUCCUGCCUGAGACUGUCUCCCUGGGUUCCUGCACCUGGAAGUGCAGUGCCGUGGAUGUCACCACUCCAGGUCGUACAGCCGGUGGGCUUGUGACUGGGGUGGAGGCGAAAUGGGAACGGAGCGCAUCGCUCCGGUUCCUGGUGAUAUCCCCCACUGACUGGGUGAUUGGUGGAGCCCGCUGCUGCUGCUUUGCUUUUAUCGUUUUUGCGGUGAUUUCUCUGUCCGGGUCCCACCCCCGCCACGACGGAACCGGUUGGAGCGAACGCCCAGCUCACGGAGACCUCGUUGCUGCGGCAUCUCACCGGACUGUGGACGGCUCCCACCAGCUGAUCGGCGGUGGUUGGGCGGCUUACCAGCGCCCCGGAACACUAAUCAUCUUUUUAAUCUUUAUUUUUAAUUGUGUGUCUUUUAUUGAUAUUGCCAAUUUUAUUCUUGUUUCAGGAGGUAGGAGGCCGAGGUGGUGGACUGCUGUGUCUGGUGGUGGGACCCAGUGUGCUGUGUGGUUUCCAUCACGUGUGCAGUGAUUCACAAAAGGGUGUUUGCAUUGUUUUUAUGGUGUUUUUAGCCACCUCGGUAAGCUCCUCCUCCAGAACAUUUUUAACUGACUUUUAUCAAGGAUUGUUUUACUAAAAGGUUCCUUAACAUUGUUUUUUAACUGAAUUCUAAAUUAUAUUUUAAAACAAAACCACAGCCUCUGCCUUGGUUGAGAGCAGGACCUGCACCUGCCUUACUUUAAAAUCUUUUCCUGGGGCUCAGCAGCCCCAGGUGGCGUUGUCAACCCGUUUUCUCGUGCUGCCACAUAUGUAUUUUUACGUCUGGUUGAGACCUGUAAACCUUUGACCGAUACACAAUUAUUGAUCUUGUUACUUUCGUUCAGCAUCUUUAAAACCUUCUUUUCAGAAUAAACUUCCGGUUUUCAAUCAGUGAAAGUGCCUUUUUAAGAAUCAUUUCUCUAAUAUUCCCUUUUCCAGAUGGAUAUGCUCC